CCCUUAGAUGUUCUGGGCUGCACGCGUGCUACACUGAUUAUUUCAACAAGUGUUUUAACUGGAGAGUUUGCGUAAUCCUGAAAUGUUAUCGUGAUGGGAGUAGAGUAUUGUAUUUGUUAAUCUUUAACGAGGAAUUCCUAGUAAGUGUAGGUUUAUAAGUUGUUCUGAUUACGUCCCUACCCUUUGUACACACCGCCCGUCGCUCCUACCGAUUGAUUGAUCCGGUGAAUUACAUAGAAUUUUGCGUUUUACAUGACGGAAGACGAAGUGUUUUAAACCUUAUCAUUUAGAGGAAGGAGAAGUCGUAACA
rnacentral:rRNA from 1 species